rnacentral:rRNA from 1 species
GACGAACGCUGGCGGCGUGCUUAACACAUGCAAGUCGAACGGAAAGGCCCUGCUUUUGUGGGGUGCUCGAGUGGCGAACGGGUGAGUAACACGUGAGUAACCUGCCCUUGACUUUGGGAUAACUUCAGGAAACUGGGGCUAAUACCGGAUAGGAGCUCCUGCUGCAUGGUGGGGGUUGGAAAGUUUCGGCGGUUGGGGAUGGACUCGCGGCUUAUCAGCUGGUUGGUGGGGUAGUGGCUUACCAAGGCUUUGACGGGUAGCCGGCCUGAGAGGGUGACCGGCCACAUUGGGACUGAGAUACGGCCCAGACUCCUACGGGAGGCAGCAGUGGGGAAUAUUGCACAAUGGGCGGAAGCCUGAUGCAGCAACGCCGCGUGCGGGAUGACGGCCUUCGGGUUGUAAACCGCUUUCGCCUGUGACGAAGCGUGAGUGACGGUAAUGGGUAAAGAAGCCCCGGCUAACUACGUG